UGAUCUUUUUUUAAGUUGCAAACGGCCUUUAUGAUGUUGGAAAUCUAGAAAAAAAUGCAUAAUCAUGUUCAAAUCCAGCAAACCUUCCACCUGAGUCAUCACCCUGUGGUGGAGGUCUGCAGACUUGAUUUCUCUGUUCAUCUGCUGAGGAACUGGUUGGAGGAUAGGUCGAUUAUCCCGGUAGGAGAGAGAACUUACUCCUUGGAAGUUAUUUGACAAUUGAGAUUGUUGUUCCUCAAAACCAGAACUCUCAAGUUGGGAAAUUUCUCUAGCAAUGUUUUUCCAACACCUCAAGCAUUCUGCAGUUUGCCUUCCAAGAGAUUGUUGUUGAUAUUUAGAGAGCUAAGUAAGGCUGCUGGCUAAUGCCAACUCUGGUGGGAUUCACCAGUAUUUGUUCCCCUGCAGGUUCAAGACAGUAAAAUUUGACACCAAUCCUAGACAUUCGUGGACCCAUCCACUUAAGUGAUUCUGAGAAGCAUCAAGAAUGCAGAGGCUGCUCGAAUUGCAGAUCCCAGUCGGAAGUGAUCCCUGAAGCAGAUUGCUUCAAAGAUCAGAUCAAGGGUGGCCGACUAGCCAAUGAAGUUGAGGAGACAUUGGGGAGAGGUCAAGGUUAGGCCGUCUAGCAGCUGCAGAAACUGCGGAAACUUGACUAGAUUCCUUCGGAAAGUGUACCUCAUCAUCUGAAAGAUCAAAUCCAACUCAUUAAGAAAGCAAGUCCACAAUGCCCUUGGAUUUGAUUGUUUGAAAUAUUCAGUCCUCAGUUCUUGUUUCUUGAGGAAAGUUGGAGCUCUGCCAAACCAUGCAAGUUUACCAUCAUGCAAAUUAGGUCUUUUUUCAUCUGUAAAAUUUGGGUUUUAGACUUGGUAGCUAAUUUUUCAGAUUACUCGGCAUGGAAUUUUUUAUUGAUGUUAUGCAAAUUAAUUUAUUUCUAUGAUUAUGGAUUAAUUUGAUGCA